rnacentral:rRNA from 1 species
AUUGAACGCUGGCGGCAUGCUUUACACAUGCAAGUCGGACGGCAGCACAGAGAAGCUUGCUUCUUGGGUGGCGAGUGGCGAACGGGUGAGUAACAUAUCGGAACGUACCGAGCAGUGGGGGAUAACUAAUCGAAAGAUUAGCUAAUACCGCAUAUUUUCUGAGGAAGAAAGCAGGGGACCAUUUGGCCUUGCGCUGUUUGAGCGGCCGAUAUCUGAUUAGCUAGUUGGUGGGGUAAAGGCCUACCAAGGCGACGAUCAGUAGCGGGUCUGAGAGGAUGAUCCGCCACACUGGGACUGAGACACGGCCCAGACUCCUACGGGAGGCAGCAGUGGGGAAUUUUGGACAAUGGGCGCAAGCCUGAUCCAGCCAUGCCGCGUGUCUGAAGAAGGCCUUCGGGUUGUAAAGGACUUUUGUCAGGGAAGAAAAGGGCGGGGUUAAUACCCCUGUCUGAUGACGGUACCUGAAGAAUAAGC